rnacentral:rRNA from 1 species
UGUACACACCGCCCGUCACACCAUGGGAGCUGGUAAUACCCAAAGUCGGUUUGCUAACCUCGGAGGCGACCGCCUAAGGUAGGACUGGUGACUGGGGUGAAGUCGUAACAAGGUAUCCCUACGAGAACGUGGGGAUGGAUCACCUCCUUU